rnacentral:rRNA from 1 species
UUAGGGGUAUCGCGCUACUGUUAGUAUGCUCCUCGCUCGGAAGAAUGGGAACUGGCUCCCUGAUGUUAGCGGCGGACGGGUGAGUAACACGUGGGUAACCUGCCUGUAAGACUGGGAUAACUCCGGGAAACCGGGGCUAAUACCGGAUGGUUGUUUGAACCGCAUGGUUCCAAACAUAAAAGGUGGCUUCGGCUACCACUUACAGAUGGACCCGCGGCGCAUUAGCUAGUUGGUGAGGUAACGGCUCACCAAGGCAACGAUGCGUAGCCGACCUGAGAGGGUGAUCGGCCACACUGGGACUGAGAACACGGCCCAGACUCCUACGGGAGGCAGCAGUAGGGAAUCUUCCGCAAUGGACGAAAGUCUGACGGAGCAACGCCGCGUGAGUGAUGAAGGUUUUCGGAUCGUAAAGCUCUGUUGUUAGGGAAGAACAAGUACCGUUCGAAUAGGGCGGUACCUUGACGGUACCUAACCAGAAAGCCACGGCUAACUACGUGCCAGCAGCCGCGGUAAUACGUAGGUGGCAAGCGUUGUCCGGAAUUAUUGGGCGUAAAGGGCUCGCAGGCGGUUUCUUAAGUCUGAUGUGAAAGCCCCCGGCUCAACCGGGGAGGGUCAUUGGAAACUGGGGAACUUGAGUGCAGAAGAGGAGAGUGGAAUUCCACGUGUAGCGGUGAAAUGCGUAGAGAUGUGGAGGAACACCAGUGGCGAAGGCGACUCUCUGGUCUGUAACUGACGCUGAGGAGCGAAAGCGUGGGGGAGCGAACAGGAUUAGAUACCCUGGUAGUCCACGCCGUAAACGAUGAGUGCUAAGUGUUAGGGGGUUUCCGCCCCUUAGUGCUGCAGCUAACGCAUUAAGCACUCCGCCUGGGGAGUACGGUCGCAAGACUGAAACUCAAAGGAAUUUGACGGGGGCCCGCACAAGCGGUGGAGCAUGUGGUUUAAUUCGAAGCAACGCGAAGAACCAUACCAGGUCUUGACAUCCUCUGGACAAUCCUAAAGAUAGGACGUCCCCUUCGGGGGCAGAAUGACAGGUGGUGCAUGGUUGUCGUCAGCUCGUGUCGCUGUAGAUGUGUGGGUUAAGUCCCGCAACGAACUGCAACCCUUGAAUCUUAGUUGCCAGCCAUUCAGUCUGGCCACUCUAAGGUGACUGCCGGUGACAAACCGGAGGAAAGGUGGGGAUGGACGUCGAAAGUCAUCAGGCUCCCAUGAUGACCAGUGGCCUACACUACUGUGCUGACAAUGGACAGAACAAAGGGCAGCGAAACCGCGAGGUUAAGCCAAUCCCACAAAUCUGUUCUCAGUUCGGAUCGCAGUCUGCAACUCGACUGCGUGAAGCGGAAUCGCUCGUAAUCGCGGAUCAGCAUGCCGCGGUGAAUACGUUCCCGGUCCUUGUACACACCGCCCGUCUCACCAUAAGAGUGGUAACAUAGAGUUUCUCUUGGGUCACGUAAGUCGUAACAACGUAACUGUAGAGUGUACCGCAAUCC